AAAGAGGGAGUGUUUUAUUAUUAUAGUGUUCGCCAAAGAUUGGGGCCCUUGUGCCUACGUAUCACUCGUUCGUGGAUGAGGAAUCAGAGCUCCGUAGUUCGGAGUAGAAAAUGUUUGUGUGCUGGUUGAUUUUACCUUUGAAAAAAGGGUUUUCGGGAUGAUGUCCUAAGACACAAAAAUGAGUUUGAUGAGUUGUAUUAUUUUUACCUUGAAUAAGAGUUUUAUGAAAUGAGUGUUUGUGAUUA
rnacentral:lncRNA from 1 species